GCAAAAUCAUUUCAUCACGCUGCUGAAUAUAGUCGUUUCUUGCCGUAGUGGAAGAUCUCCUGCAUUCCCUUCAAGAACAUGCUUCAAUAAUCAGGACUUUUGCCAGCUAUUUCUCAAAUCUGCUUUGUGAUGACCAUGGAGGCCUUGGUUACAGUAUGUUGGAGGCACCUGACACCUUUUUGGAGCAGCUGUUCACACUUGUAUUGCAAGACACUCUGAAUUCCGAUCAGGCAGCAAGUGGCCCAUGCACAUCCUUUGCUUCCUGCCUCAGUGACCGUAUACAGUACAGGCACCUCCACCGUGGUGCUGUGAAGGAGUUCCACAGUGCAGAAAAACAUGCUUAAAGAUUAGAUUCGCUGGAUCGCUCCCUCAAAGGAAGCUACUGUGUCUCUGACAGCUGCCGGUCGCAGAUUUUGUGUGGAAUCACUGUCGCCAACACCUACUCUACUUGGAUUCACUCACACCCGAGCUACUGGAAGUUGAUAGAACAGAGACUGUUGUGCAAUCCUCCAGAGAAUGGUGCUGAAAGAGGAAGUCUACAUUGGAAUCUAUUGCAUUUUACAUUGGAUGAGGACUCGGGCACACCUUGGACCUCUCACAGUUGGCCUGGGAGUGUCAUCCUGGUGGAACUCGAGGAGGAAGCCAUGGACAAUAAUGUCUGUCUCUCCUGUUUAAACUGCUGUCCCCACAUGAGUGGAAGAAUACAAGUUUAAAUAGGUGGAUGGAUACUAAAUGCUGUCCAUGUGGCAUGUCACAAAUAAAGUAUCCUUUCAUUUCAUUUCACAUCUAACAUACAAUUCCAUUGCAACAUGCUGCCAAUUUUGUGUCUUUUUGUCUUGAGUUUGUUGUCACAUUUCUGUCGGGCCAAUUAUAUAGUACUUGUGCACUCACUGUAGUAGUCUCACCACGCUGCACUAUUUGCAUAUCUGUUGUUGACCAAUACUGGCCACUCAUGCCAGAGUAGCAUCUGCUCUAUUUGCACACUGACUGAGGAGAAUCUGCAACAUUUGCACAAUCAACAUUGUCCCAGACUAUCGUACUACUAGCUUGAAGUCUCGGCGCCCUUUGCACAAUGGUC